rnacentral:RNase_P_RNA from 1 species
UGAGUAAGCCGGGCAGUCGCGUGCGCCAAAAACGCAUGAGGAAAGUCCGGGCUCCAUAGGGCAAGGACGCCGGAUAACGUCCGGUGAAGGCAACUUUAAGGAAAGUGCAACAGAAACACACCGCCGAAACGGGCGGGAACGCGUUCCCGCGCCGCGGUAAGGUUGAAAUGGUGAGGUAAGAGCUCACCGGCGGCAUGGUAACAUGCCGGCCGUGUAAACCCCGUCCGGAGCAAGGCCAAGCAGGGCAUCGUCGUCCUCAGACGAGGAUGACAGCGGCGGCCCGUCGCUGCCCGGUAUGGUAGGCCGCACGAGCCUGUUGGAGACAGCAGGCCAAGAUAGAUGAUUGCCGAUUGCGACGCCGGCAUUUGUUUGGCGGAGCAAUUUACAGAACCCGGCUUAUGGCUUGCUCAUAUU